rnacentral:lncRNA from 1 species
AGUUUUGGGCUUUUUUUUUUUUUUGCCUGAAGUUUUUCUUUUAACAGACUGGUGUCAGAAAUGGGAUCUGAGGUAGAACCUUAGUGACUCCCAGGAGGACCAAGUGACCAAAUGAAGGUACCCACCAGGCCCAACUAUGCCCAUUGAUCUCUUGUAGCAACUGAGAUUGUGAUUGAAUUCUCUUUCAGAUUUCAAGUUCCACAAACUUGUAUUUUGAACUUUCUGAGUUUAUUUGGACAUUUUAAAAUUUGGACUGGGCUUGGAAGUCAUGACAGAAAUAGGACUGGUUUCUGUAGGGAGGCCUCAGGUGUCUGACUGGGUCAGAAAGAAACUGAACUGGGUUCAGUAGGUAGGUGAGGUUACCAUAAGACAGAGAAUCAUAGGUUCCUCUGGAUCCAAGGAGUCUAGAACUCCUGCAUCUGGAACUCCAGCCAAUUUAAUAUAUAAGAACUCUGGACCCAGAACUGUACUUUUCUUAAAAAAAAAAAAAAAGGAUAAACCUUACCAAAGGUAACCUAGAGUUACAGUGGCCACAGUGGGAAAGUUUUAAUCUAGACAAAAUUGUUCACUUGUGAGCUGCAUUAGAAAAGAGGAUCCAAAAUGCUUCAGAAACAAAGGAAUCCUUUUUUUUCUAAACUGGUACUCAGAGCCUUCCAAAAGAUUAAAUGAAUACAAAAUUGCCACUCUAAAAGACUCUUUACAAAAGGUGAACAGGCACAUGUCUUUAUAGUAGCUAUAACAGCUGUAGGGACCAAGAAGAUCUCCUUGUAUAUGUUUUAAACCAAAACCAAGGAGUCCCAGAUGAAAGAACCCUGUGCCCUAAGACAUUUGCCUUUAUUAUAAACUGCUAGACCAUUGGAAAAGAAAGUAUCAAUUUUUACACCAGGCAUCUGACGGACCCAUUCCUUUUGGCUUGGACUGAUUCCCGACUAGAGGAAGCCUCUAAAGGCUUCACUCCUGAGACAAUAAUCAACUAAUCUCUCAGAAAUUAAAAAAAUAGAAUAUUUCUUUGGUAGGGAUUUAAAAUCAAGUCUUAAAGAUCCUCAUAUUUAAUUGACUAUUUCCAGAAAAAUACUUGUAAGAAUUAUUGGUCUCUGUUUUUUUCUAUUUGAUCUCAUGGAAACCUCUCUCUCCGUUGGGAACUUCUCCGUUGAUUAAAACCCCUCUUCUCAAACCCCUGCUGACUAUAUGAUCUGCCAACUUUGUCUACCUCUUUCUUGUUGUCAUGAUCUUUGGUAUGCCCCAAAACUCUUUCUUGGAAAACAACAACAACAACAACAACAACAAGACAACUGAUUGCUUUGUCAUUCAAUCUUGAAAACAAACAAACAAACAAGAAAAUAACAAAGCAGUCUCUAACAAUAAGGCAAGAUUAGAAGUAUCCAUUUGAGUCCAGGCAUACAAAAUGCUUGUCCCUAGACUUCCAUGGGCUCCACCCACUCAAUAUUCUAGCAAAAAGACACAAACUUUGUUUUUGGGAAAGAAUGGAUAGGCCCUUGGAAGAAUAGAUGGUGGUUUGUGACAAAGUCAGUCUAUGAUGGACUUCUGGCCUCCUCUCCUGUGAUUUUGGGAAUUUCUACAUGGACCCUUUGGAAGUUUCCAUCUGGAAACUUCUCCUUGUAGAGAGAGAGAUAUUAAACUAAUUGGGCUUAUUUUAUGUAUUAAAUUAUAUGGGAAGCAUUGUCAAAUAAUGCUAAACCUCCAUUGAGUUAUAUUUGUAUGAUUAUUUUAUUAAUAUGUGCUUCAGAAAUUCUAUGAAAUUCAUAGAAAUCUAAUAGUCCUGGUGUAACACUAUCAGUCUUAAUUCUAGUUGUUAUCUUAAAAUGUUGUAUGCAGCAAUAACCAAAUUUCCUUGUCAAUUGCAUAAUCAUUGUAAUUAACUCUCAUUAGAUCUUUAAAAAUGGCCACUUAAAUUAUGUGUUUUUGUCAUUCACAGAAGGAAAAUUGUUUACUCUGGUAUCUUCCUAAGAAACUGUACACUUAAAUUGUUUUGUCUUCAAGGAGAUUCAUAGAAAGGACUCUAACAAGUUUCUGAUAACUUUAAGAUUAUACCAUUAAACUAGCAGGUAAAGGAAGAUUUUCAUGAUUCACUGACUGAGGACAAUCAAAUUCUUCACCACGUAGAACCUAGACAUUGGGUCUUUGGAAAGGACAUCAGAGAAAGACUGCCAUUAAGCUCCAUUGGAAGAGACCAUAUCAAGUUCUUUUCUGCAGCAAACCAUCAGGCUCUCAAGUCUUGGAUCUAUGUCUCUCAACUCAAAAGAGCUCCUCCAGACUCCUGGAACUGUAUACCUAUUGGAGACUCUAAGGUAAAGCUCACCAGGGAAGAUUUCCCCCAGGAGCAGUUGGCAUCCUAGACUUCAACAGCUUUCGUAAGAUUGUGGAUCAAGACUUCUCUGCCAUCAUGAAAGUCUUAUCUUUUCCCUUUCUUCCCAAUUUCCUGCUGUCCCAGUCCCUUUCUUUUACUUAUAGGAAAAUCCAUGGGGCCAUAAUCUGUGGAUGGCUUUAGCUAAGUCUUAUGCUGUAGUGAAAAAACAGAGCAAUUGUUGGGUUUAUGAAGAUAAGCUAGUUUCUACUGAGGAAAGAUUCCAGUGGCAUUCCUGGGGGCUCAGUCUUGGUACUAGCAGGGUACUGGUAGUAUGGAAUUUGAAAGUAAUCCAUAAAAUGAGAAAAAUCUUGGGUUUGACCAACCAGUCCCCACAGAGGUUCAGGUGAGUAGAAGUCAUCUUUUGAAAACACUUAAUAAAACAUCAUGCAGUUUUGGAUCCUGUUUCCUUAGACACUGCCACCAAAUACAUAAAGGAAAUUUCUCAGAGGAAAGAAACAUAUGACAUGUUCAUAGGAGCAGCAAACCAUUGGUUUGCAGGUAGGCUUGGCUUUUCCAAGGUGUUCUAACCUUUAUGCUCUUCUAAUGGUUCUCCAGAUUACUAUGACUUGUGUUAACAAGAUAAUGACAACAUUGGAUACCUCUUUAAAUCAGCAAACUGCAGUUCUUAAUCAUUAUCACCUCCUGAACAAAAACCAUGACCAACGGUACUCAAAUGCUUUUGAGCUGCCUGUAAGGGAGGAGACCACCCCUCAUAUUGUCUUAUGCCCAAUUUCUGCCUCCAAAUAAAGAAGAAGUAAAAACUAAAAGGCAGAAACGAAAUCCACAAGCAGACAGCCCGGUGCCACACCCUGGGCCUGGUAGUUAAAGAUCGAUGCCUGACCUAAUCAGUUAUGUUAUCUAUAGAUUACAGAUAUCGUAUAGGAAAGCACUGUGAAAAUCCCUGUCCUGUUUUGUUCCGAUCUAAUUACCAGUGCAUGCAACCCCCAGUCAUGUACCCCUGGCUUGCUCAAUCGAUCACAACCCUCUCAAGUGGACCCCCUUAGAGUUGUGAGCCCUUAAAAGGGGCAGGAAUUGCUCACUCAGGGAGCUCAGCUCUUGAGACAGGAGUCUUGCCAAUGCUCCCGGCCGAAUAAACUGCUUCCUUCUUUAA